GGAGCAGAGGAUCCAGUGCGUAGAGUGUGUGUGUACGUGGGAAGUGAGUGAUGAAGAGAGAGAGGGAGAGAGCGGCGGCGACAGGAGCAAAUAACGUUAUCGACUCCGGGCCUAACAGGAAAAGUUAACGAAGUUUAGUUUGUCCAUUCUGGGUUACUGUUGAAACAUGGCGGUGCAACAUGGCAGACUCCAUUGAGAGGACCCACUCCCUAUGUAGAUAUGAAGGGCUCAUUCUAAGCUAACAAAAAC